rnacentral:rRNA from 1 species
GAUGAACGCUGGCGGCGUGCCUAAUACAUGCAAGUCGAGCGAACGGACGAGAAGCUUGCUUCUCUGAUGUUAGCGGCGGACGGGUGAGUAACACGUGGAUAACCUACCUAUAAGACAGGGAUAACUUCGGGAAACCGGAGCUAAUACCGGAUAAUAUUUUGAACCGCAUGGUUCAAAAGUGAAAGACGGUCUUGCUGUCACUUAUAGAUGGAUCCGCGCUGCAUUAGCUAGUUGGUAAGGUAACGGCUUACCAAGGCAACGAUGCAUAGCCGACCUGAGAGGGUGAUCGGCCACACUGGAACUGAGACACGGUCCAGACUCCUACGGGAGGCAGCAGUAGGGAAUCUUCCGCAAUGGGCGAAAGCCUGACGGAGCAACGCCGCGUGAGUGAUGAAGGUCUUCGGAUCGUAAAACUCUGUUAUUAGGGAAGAACAUAUGUGUAAGUAACUGUGCACAUCUUGACGGUACCUAAUCAGAAAGCCACGGCUAACUACGUG